rnacentral:rRNA from 1 species
GAUUGAACGCUGGCGGCAGGCCUAACACAUGCAAGUCGAGCGGAUGAGAGGAGCUUGCUCCUUGAUUCAGCGGCGGACGGGUGAGUAAUGCCUAGGAAUCUGCCUAUUAGUGGGGGACAACGUUUCGAAAGGAACGCUAAUACCGCAUACGUCCUACGGGAGAAAGCAGGGGACCUUCGGGCCUUGCGCUAAUAGAUGAGCCUAGGUCGGAUUAGCUAGUUGGUGAGGUAAUGGCUCACCAAGGCGACGAUCCGUAACUGGUCUGAGAGGAUGAUCAGUCACACUGGAACUGAGACACGGUCCAGACUCCUACGGGAGGCAGCAGUGGGGAAUAUUGGACAAUGGGCGAAAGCCUGAUCCAGCCAUGCCGCGUGUGUGAAGAAGGUCUUCGGAUUGUAAAGCACUUUAAGUUGGGAGGAAGGGUUGUAGAUUAAUACUCUGCAAUUUUGACGU